rnacentral:rRNA from 1 species
CGCCAGUCUGCAUGGAGCCGACCUUGAAAUACCACCCUUUAAUGUUUGAUGUUCUAACGUUGACCCGUAAUCCGGGUUGCGGACAGUGUCUGGUGGGUAGUUUGACUGGGGCGGUCUCCUCCUAAAGAGUAACGGAGGAGCACGAAGGUUGGCUAAUCCUGGUCGGACAUCAGGAGGUUAGUGCAAUGGCAUAAGCCAGCUUGACUGCGAGCGUGACGGCGCGAGCAGGUGCGAAAGCAGGUCAUAGUGAUCCGGUGGUUCUGAAUGGAAGGGCCAUCGCUCAACGGAUAAAAGGUACUCCGGGGAUAACAGGCUGAUACCGCCCAAGAGUUCAUAUCGACGGCGGUGUUUGGCACCUCGAUGUCGGCUCAUCACAUCCUGGGGCUGAAGUAGGUCCCAAGGGUAUGGCUGUUCGCCAUUUAAAGUGGUACGCGAGCUGGGUUUAGAACGUCGUGAGACAGUUCGGUCCCUA